ACGGCCCUAUUCGAAAAAUGCAAUACGGAAAAGAUAUGAGAUCGUUAAGUUCUGGUUUAGAUAUAGAUAAGUUCUCAAUUAGAUAUCGUUUGUAUGUGGUAUAAUUGACAGAAGCUGCACGAUUCGGAUGACCAAUGUCACUUUGACGUUAGAAUAUCUUUGAAAGAUCUUAGUCAGUGUUGCCAGAUGGGUUUUGCGUUCCGUUACGUGCACCUCUUAAAAAUAGUACGCAAAUUCAAGUUGAGUACGCAGUAUAAAAUUUACGGUGCGUUCCUAAAUAAUAUUAAUCGGAAAACCACCGAAUUUUAUCGCUACUAUAAAAAUGUUGAAAAUAGAACUUCACAUAUUUCGAUAAAAUAUUUCUUGUUUAAGGAGACUCAAUUCAAUGCAAAUUUGCCAACGGUGGCGUUUCGAAAUGUAAUACCGUCGCGGCGUCUGUCAUACUUCGGUCUACUUAAACACGCUGCACGCUGCUGCGACGCGUCAGGGCCUACCGCGAACCACGUUCGACGUGUUGCCUCUCUGUCGCACUUAUAAAUUCGUACGUAAGUAUGACAGGGAGGCAACACGUCGAACGUGGUUCACGGUAGGCCCUCUGUUCUGUGAUUGUUAGGCAAACACAAACAUUUUUUUUUACAACGGACGCCCACGAGUAUUCCUCUGCGUUGAAGUCAUUGUUGAAGUUUGAAAACUCAUAAAGUUUUGUUUUGUGAGUGAAACCGUGAAUAAUACUAAAUAAAAAUGUGUGACAGUGAUCACAGUGAUGAAAAUAUGUUGCCCACUACUCCUCAGGAAAUAUUAAAGCCUUUUCCGUUUAUGUUGUUCCGUUGUUUGCUAUUUUGACAACUUGAAAAGUUUUAUCGGCAGUUUGCGUGUUAUUACUGUGAAGUGUUUGGCCAAACCGCCGCUACCACUUUUGAAAGGAUGCCACCCAAAAAUCCAAAAAUGUAAGUUACACAAAACAAAAAGAAUUUAUUUGCAGAAAAAUAUAGCUAUUUGCCAGUUCCUUUGAUCGUUAACUUAUGUGACUGUUUUUUUUCAGUCGCUCGAACGCAGCACAAAUUAGAUUGCUCGUUGAAUACAUGUCACAGCACACCCGGUUCGCCAACCGGGAAUUUGACGGGCCUCUAAGGACCCCAGAGGUACGAGGCGCAAUGGGAGGCCCUUGCACAGGCCUUAAGGGAGCACGGGCCCAAUAAGUCAGUGCAGGCAUGGAAAGUGGAUAUCCUGAACGAACUGAAAAUUUUUAAUGAGGCGCAGAAACAAAAAUGGAGUGUUUUGAAGGAGGGGCACGACUUGUUGGCGAAUCGUAUUAACACAUUGGAGGACACCGAGAUUAUUGAGAACUUGGAAGACACAGUUAUAAUGGAAGAGGAAGACGUCUGAGCUAAGCGCUGUCCUCGCACCCUCCGUCUAGUUUACGUUUGCGGCCAUAUCAAAAAUACACACCGUAUGUUUAUUAGGGUUCCGUACCAAAAAGGUACAAAAGGAACCCUUAUGGUGCUAUUGCUAAAUAUCUCGAGAAGUACUUAAGCUAUCGAUGUGAAAUUUGGAAUAGUAAUGAAUAACGCUGACCCAAACAUAUUGGAUGUGUAUUUAUUUUAUUUUCUUUGUAAGUAUUAAUAAUGGAAAAUUCCCAAUAUGAAGAGGGGGUAAAAUUGCAAAGUCUAGUUAAAUAGGUCAAGUGGGGUAUCAUUUGAAAGAGCUCAAAUUGAAAAUUACAAAACAAUUUUUUAUUUUCAUUGUGAAAAAAAAAUUUACGUAUGAAGGAAAAUGUGAAAAUAAUACCAUCCCCCCCCCUCUCUCAUCUCCGAAGUUUAAGAAUAAAAAUUGUUUUUUUUACAUUGGUCAAGUCUUUCAUGAGAAAAUUUGAAGUUUGUACGGAACCCUCGGUGUGCGAGGUAAACGAACUCGCACUUGACCGGUUAUUCUUAUUGCCCAUAAGGCCCGUCCUUAGAUAUAUGUCAAUGAUUACGGUGAUCUCGAAAAUGGCUCAAAUGAUUUCAAUUAAAUUUGCUAUAUGGGGGUUUUCGGGGCGUUUUUGAGUUUUUACCUAUUUGUUUUCCGAGCAAAAGGAAUUAAAGUUUACUGAUUUUGAAAA